rnacentral:rRNA from 1 species
AGGGAAUAUUGCGCAAUGGGCGAAAGCCUGACGCAGCGACACCGUGUGUAGGAUGAAGAUCUUAGGAUUGUAAACUACUGUCAGUUGAAGAAGAAGGUAUGAAAGUUAAGAGCUUGAUUAUUGACGGUAUUCAACGAGGAAGUCUCGGCUAACUCCGUGCCAGCAGCCGCGGUAAGACGGGGGAGGCAAGCAUUGUCCGGAAUUAUUGGGCGUAAAGAACACGUAGGCGGUUUUUAAAGUCAAUUGUGAAAACCUUGGGCUCAACCCGAGGAUUGCAGUUGAUACUGGAAAACUAGAGUACAGUAGAGGAAAGUGGAAUUCCUGGUGUAGCGGUGAAAUGCGCAGAUAUCAGGAAGAACACCAGUGGCGAAAGCGGCUUUCUGGACUGUUACUGACGCUGAGGUGUGAAAGCUAGGGGAGCGAAC